GAUGAACGCUAGCUACAGGCUUAACACAUGCAAGUCGAGGGGAAACGACAUCGAAAGCUUGCUUUUGAUGGGCGUCGACCGGCGCACGGGUGAGUAACGCGUAUCCAACCUGCCCAUCACUUGGGAAUAACCUUGCGAAAGUAAGACUAAUACCCAAUGACAUCCCACGAAGACAUCUGAAUGGGAUUAAAGAUUUAUCGGUGAUGGAUGGGGAUGCGUCUGAUUAGCUUGUUGGCGGGGUAACGGCCCACCAAGGCAACGAUCAGUAGGGGUUCUGAGAGGAAGGUCCCCCACAUUUGAACUGAGACACGGUCCAAACUCCUACGGGAGGCAGCAGUGAGGAAUAUUAGUCAAUGGGCGAGAGCCUGAACCAGCCAAGUAGCGUGCAGGAUGACGGCCCUAUGGGUUGUAAACUGCUUUUAUAAGGGAAUAAAGUGGGUCUCGUGAGACUUUUUGCAUGUACCUUAUGAAUAAGGACCGGCUAAUUCCGUG
rnacentral:rRNA from 1 species